rnacentral:lncRNA from 1 species
CCAACACAGAAACGUGGAUCUGUGGAGCCCAGAUGGGAGCCGAACUGGUCAGUGCUGACUCUCCCUUAUCUAUACCAUCAGGCUGAGCUCUUCAGCAGUGCUUUGGCUAGGCCACCCAAAGCCACCAUCUGCAGCAGACAAGGUCAAUUCUUCUGCUCUCAUGCCUUGGCCAUCAUGACCAGCUAGCUCCACUGUGUUGCUGGCCAGUCAGGUGCAGAGCGGACCGCAGUCCUUUGUUCGUCCUACCUUGAUGCCUGUCGUAGCCCAAGGACUCAAGAAGAUCAAGUAAAAUGAAACCCAGGCAGCACAGAGCGGGAGGAAGUCAGAGACAGGCACACUGUAGUGCCAUCCACACACCUGCCACCCAGCUCACUGCACAAGCAGGCCAUAGAUACCCACCUGCUGCCACACCACACAACAUGCAGCACACAGGAUGGAAAAUGUCGCCCAGGGUCUGCCAGCUACAUGCUCAGCCUGCAGCAGGAGUCAUCGCAGUGGUGGUCAGAUGGCAGAGAAAGAAAGGCGGAACGGCUUGCGCAUCAUGAAGAGUGGUGGAACUGGAGACUCAAGGAUGGAGAGGAGAAGCCUAUCUUGAGUGGGCAGCCCUGCCACCUCAGGCCACGGUGAAGUUCAAGCCCAAGCUGCCACUGAGGGCCAUGGUCGGUCAGUGACUAUAGCAGCAGCAGGGGUCAGUGUCGAUGACCGUGCUCAUAUUAACACUAGAGAAUGUGGGCAGUCACCAGGGACAUGGAUAGAGCAACGCAUAGCUGGCCCCUCUCCUCACUGGAUCCAGUGCGCUUGAGAGCCAGCCGCAGCACUCACCACUGGGCAGCACUUGGAGGAAAAUAA